GUCUACGGCCAUGCCACCCUGAACAUGCCCAAUCUCAUCUGAUCUCAGAAGCUAAGCAGGGUCAGGCCUGGUUAAUACUUGGACGGGAGACCACUUAGGAAUACCAAGUGCUGUAGGCG
rnacentral:rRNA from 1 species